rnacentral:lncRNA from 1 species
GAUUUUUGGUCGGGUAAGUGAAACUUUUCAAAGGAGCUCAGGUCUAUUUGGUUAUUAUAUAUUCAUAGAGUUGAGAUUAAUCCGGGGAAGAAAAAAAAGAACGGGAGACUUUUGAAAUGAUUUUGGAGAGGUCACAUUUGAGAAUAGCAGAAGUCUUUGAUAAAGAAGUUCAGUUUUGAGAGUUUAAGUAAGCUGAUUUUUGCAUAAAUAGAAAUCAGUUUCCUUUCAGUUUUUUUAGAGAGUCUUGGCUGGUCUUUCAAUCUUUAAAAAUCAGUAGUUUGAGAGUAAACAGGCUGCAUUUUAUCACUUAAAAUUCUGUCUUGGAGAGUUUGAAAAAAGAAAUCAAAGUACUGCUUCAUUGCAUUUCUGAGUUGAUUUCUGCUUUCUAUUUGUUUUUGGGAGUUCACUGGUUCAGUUUGGUAUUGCUUUAAUUGGUUUUUCUGCGUUUGCUGUUAGUUUCUCGUCACUGUUCCAUUGUUUAUUGAUGGAAUUCUACUGUUUAUAAUAUGUUAUUGGGCUGUUGUUGUUUGUUGUUGUUACUGUGUUGCUUACUACUGCUGCUGAUUCUCAUAUUCAUUUCUUGUAUUUUCAACACAAGGUACACACUCGAAUUCAUUGGUGUAACCUCGAAUUGGAAUAAAAUGAUGUAGUAUUUUCGGCCUAUGUUCAUGUGAAUAUUUGUAGUGAUAGUCAGUCCAAUAUUGUCAAUUGUUUAAUUUUCCUUUUGUUUGAAUCAUACUGAGUUAAGAACAGGUCAAUUAGGAUUGCCUCUACCAUUUUGAACCCUUUAGACUUGUAACAAACUAUGGAAUGUGUUUUGUUGUACUAGUUUAUUUCCAACUUUCCCCGUUGUUCAUAUUCACAGUAAUAGUAGCAAAUAAUAGACUUCUAUUAACAGCUAACAUUUGAGUGAACAUAGUGAUGCCUUAAAUCUAGAAAGAUAGGAAUUUGAAUUAAUACUUGGGUGAGUGUUAGUGUUGGGAAAUAAAUAGUUAGUCAAUAUUCAUGUUUCGUUAAAAUUAGCAAGCCUCGAAUGUGUUAGUUUCAUCUAGUUAAUAGCGCUUCAACUUAGCCGAUACUUUCUAAUAGAAAAAAAAACGCAAUAACGCGCCUAAUAGUACAUAAAUCUGGUCGUAAGAGUUAAAACCAGGGCAAUAACUUUCUUGUGCAUUUGAUCAGAAUAGCUUAAAGGAACAAAACAAUCUUC